ACGGGUGCGUAACGCGUGGGAAUCUGCCCUUUGGUUCGGAAUAACAGCUGGAAACGGCUGCUAAUACCGGAUGAUGACGAAAGUCCAAAGAUUUAUCGCCAGAGGAUGAGCCCGCGUUGGAUUAGGUAGUUGGUGGGGUAAAGGCCUACCAAGCCGACGAUCCAUAGCUGGUCUGAGAGGAUGAUCAGCCACACUGGGACUGAGACACGGCCCAGACUCCUACGGGAGGCAGCAGUGGGGAAUAUUGGACAAUGGGCGCAAGCCUGAUCCAGCAAUGCCGCGUGAGUGAUGAAGGCCCUAGGGUUGUAAAGCUCUUUUACCCGGGAAGAUAAUGACUGUACCGGGAGAAUAAGCCCCGGCUAACUCCGUGCCAGCAGCCGCGGUAAUACGGAGGGGGCUAGCGUUGUUCGGAAUUACUGGGCGUAAAGCGCACGUAGGCGGCUUUGUAAGUCAGAGGUGAAAGCCUGGAGCUCAACUCCAGAACUGCCUUUGAGACUGCAUCGCUUGAAUCCAGGAGAGGUCAGUGGAAUUCCGAGUGUAGAGGUGAAAUUCGUAGA
rnacentral:rRNA from 1 species